ensembl:snoRNA SNORD58 Small nucleolar RNA SNORD58
CUGCAAUGAUGAGUUUUCUUAGGACACCUUUGGAUUAACAAUGAAAAUAAAACAAAACUGAGCAGC